GACGAACGCUGGCGGCGUGCUUAACACAUGCAAGUCGAACGCUGAAGCUUGGUGCUUGCACUGGGUGGAUGAGUGGCGAACGGGUGAGUAAUACGUGAGUAACCUGCCCUUGACUCUGGGAUAAGCCUGGGAAACUGGGUCUAAUACUGGAUACGACAUGUCACCGCAUGGUGGUGUGUGGAAAGGGUUUUACUGGUUUUGGAUGGGCUCACGGCCUAUCAGCUUGUUGGUGGGGUAAUGGCUCACCAAGGCGACGACGGGUAGCCGGCCUGAGAGGGUGACCGGCCACACUGGGACUGAGACACGGCCCAGACUCCUACGGGAGGCAGCAGCGGGGAAUAUUGCACAAUGGGCGGAAGCCUGAUGCAGCGACGCCGCGUGAGGGAUGACGGCCUUCGGGUUGUAAACCUCUUUCAGCACGGAAGAAGCGAAAGUGACGGUACGUGCAGAAGAAGCGCCGGCUAACUACGUG
rnacentral:rRNA from 1 species